AUUGAACGCUGGCGGCAGGCCUAACACAUGCAAGUCGAGCGAAGCGGCUUUAAGGAAGUUUUCGGACGGAAUUAAAACUGACUUAGCGGCGGACGGGUGAGUAACGCGUGGGUAACCUGCCUCAUACAGGGGGAUAACAGUUAGAAAUGACUGCUAAUACCGCAUAAGCGCACAGUGCUGCAUAGCGCAGUGUGAAAAACUCCGGUGGUAUGAGAUGGACCCGCGUCUGAUUAGGUAGUUGGUGAGGUAAUGGCUCACCAAGCCGACGAUCAGUAGCCGACCUAGGAGGGCAACCGGGUACAUUGGGACUGAUACACGUCCCAAACUCUGACGUGAGCCAGCAGUGGUGAAGAUUGGACAACGGGGGAAACCGUGCUCCAGCGACGCCGCGUGAGUGAAGAAGUGUUUGUGCAUGUAAAGCUCUAUCAGCAGGGAAGAAAAUGACGGUACCUGACUAAGAAGCCCCGUCUAACUACUUGCCAGUCGCCGCAGUAACAC
rnacentral:rRNA from 1 species